rnacentral:rRNA from 1 species
CCUACGGGGGGCUGCAGUGGGGAAUAUUGGACAAUGGGGGCAACCCUGAUCCAGCCAUGCCGCGUGUGUGAAGAAGGCCCUCGGGUUGUAAAGCACUUUCAGUGAGGAAGAACGCCUGGUGGUUAAUACCCAUCAGGAAAGACAUCACUCACAGAAGAAGCACCGGCUAACUCCGUGCCAGCAGCCGCGGUAAUACGGAGGGUGCGAGCGUUAAUCGGAAUUACUGGGCGUAAAGCGCGCGUAGGUGGCUUGAUAAGCCGGUUGUGAAAGCCCCGGGCUCAACCUGGGAACGGCAUCCGGAACUGUCAAGCUAGAGUGCAGGAGAGGAAGGUAGAAUUCCCGGUGUAGCGGUGAAAUGCGUAGAGAUCGGGAGGAAUACCAGUGGCGAAGGCGGCCUUCUGGACUGACACUGACACUGAGGUGCGAAAGCGUGGGUAGCAAACAGGAUUAGAUACCCGAGUAGUA